ACUCACGCACGCACACCGCCGUACACAGCACAAUCGUUCACCGUCCCGCCAAAGGCUCGUCUCUCGGGUUCUGCCUAGUGGAAGGAGUCGGACAACGCCGCACGUCACGGGCGUUUCGGAUUUCUUGCUUCCCAAAGGUUUGACGGCGGCCACCGGCGCCCCGGCCCAGCUCUGCUUUCCUUUGCUGACUCCUUCCUUUAGCUGUCUACCACCACUGCUGCGCUUGUGGAUGACUGCAGGAACACCGGGUACUUGCCACAAGUAUCUCUCCAGAUUCAUCAGCCUUUCACCUGUGACAAGCUCAGUCAAGAAGUGGCUCCUAAGUAAAAGCUGGGGAAGAACAAGGAAGAUAGAGCUC
rnacentral:lncRNA from 1 species